rnacentral:rRNA from 1 species
AUUAAGUUGAUCAUGGCUCAGACGAGGGCGUACGGUAGGCCUAACACAUGCAAGUCGAACGGCAGCACAGAGGAGCUUGCUCCUUGGGUGGCGAGUGGCGGACGGGUGAGGAAUACAUCGGAAUCUACUCUGUCGCGGGGGAUAACGUAGGGAAACUUACGCUAAUACCGCAUACGACCUACGGGUGAAAGCAGGGGAUCUUCGGACCUUGCGCGAUUGAAUGAGCCGAUAGUCGGAUUAGCUAGUNUGGCGGGGUAAAGGCCCACCAAGGGACAUCCGUCUGGUCUGGAGGAUGA